GGACAGAUAGCUCAGUUGGUGGAGCACGGGACUGAAAAUUUUAGUGUGGUCAGUUCGAUUCAGAUCCUGUCCA
rnacentral:tRNA from 1 species